AAAAGGAUCCCCACUCCCACUCUUUAGUAGACUUUGGAGAGCAUUUCAAGGACAAGAAUUAGACAGUCUAGUCCUUUCACUUCCUCUGGACUUCCAAAUAAGAAACUUGGAAAACAGCAUGGUACCGUGGAAAGAGUGUUGACUCUGAGUUCAAAUUCAAUCUCUAUUACACCCUGCUCAUGUCAGGGAUGAGGAAGAACAUUGAGAAUCCCUUGGUUAUGUUACUGUGUGACCUUGGAAAAAUUAGGUCACAGCUUGGAGUGUAUCUACCUGUGUAUUUGGCACUCCUGGUGAAGAGGAUAUAAAGGCAAACAAGAUCUCUAAAAUCUGGGUUCAAGCCCUGGCUCUGCCAAAUGACUGUUUGGUCCUAGGCAAGUUACUCUACUUUUCAUCACCUCAGGUUGUAACCUACAGAACUUCUACUGAUCAGCAAUGGUAAAGGGAGUUUUUUCAGUGGGAGUGCCCUAUUUCAAUAAACUUACAGGUCCAGACAUAAAUAAUAAAAAAAAAAA